GUUCCAAAAGCUGGAUGAGCGUUCUGAUGAAGGAUUUACGGACCGGCCGGACAGUUUAUGGGGACUCACGUGACGCUCAGAAAAAAGUUGUCAUGACCUCAACACAGCCAGUUCCUCCCUGUCAGCCCCCAGAGGAAGAUGAAGAGGAGGAGACGUUAAAGUUUGGCGGUGGCACCACGUCCUCAGACAUCUCUUCUCCUUACUCUUCUGUCAAGACAGACAGGUCUGAAGAUGCAGAAUUGGAGAAUCUUUCUGCCAUAAGGCAGGUGAGCAGGACUGCAGCAGCCAGCUCAGAUGUGGAGGUCAGGAGGUCACCAGAGGGGAGAUGGACUUGUGAAGCGGGAGCAGCUGAGGAGUCUGGGAGUUUCUGGAAAACGGGCAGUGUUUAUGAAACCCAGACGUGCCACAAAGCCCAGGAGUGGCUGAGUGUGAUGUCGGAGCUCAGUCAACGCCUCAGCAAAGGGAAGUCCUCUCCGGAUCCCAGAGGUGCUGUGGGAGCCGAUGAAGACGAUGAGGAGGGAUCUUCGUCGCUGAGGCUCCAGGCCCAACACUCCCCUGCUGUGGAUGAAACAGCCUGUGACGGCUCAGUCACCUGUGAGGCAGAACGCAGCUGCAGACACCCACACAUCCUUUGUGGAGGAGCGCAGACUCUGGCUCCUGCUGAUGAUGUGGAGAACAUGUACGAGGAGGUCCAAAUACCUGAGCGGCACAAGUCCAUCAGCUGGAGAUGUGAAGAUCUUUGUGACUCUGGCACGUCCGCUCCACCCGGCAGCAAGAAGGUAAAGUCUCUUUUCUGA
rnacentral:lncRNA from 1 species